UUUCGCAUAGUGUAACGGUAGCACAUCAGACUCUGACUCUGCUAGUAGUGGUUCGAAUCCAUUUGCGAAAACCA
rnacentral:tRNA from 1 species